CCAAUAGCGUAUAUUAAAGUUGUUGCAGUUAAAAAGCUCGUAGUUGAAUUUCGGGAUUGACGUGACGGUCGUGCCUUAAGGGGCGUGAACUGUCGCCGUUGAUUUCUCACCUUCUGGAGAAGCUCGAUGUCCUUAAUUGGAUGUCUUGUGGAACCAGGACCUUUACCUUGAAAAAAUUAGAGUGUUUAAAGCAGGCAUUUUGCUCGAAUACAUUAGCAUGGAAUAAUAGAAUAGGACGGCAUGGUUCUAUUUUGUUGGUUUCUAGGAUCACCGUAAUGAUUAAUAGGGAUAGUUGGGGGCAUUAGUAUUCAAUUGUCAGAGGUGAAAUUCUUUGAUUUAUUGAAGACUAACUACUGCGAAAGCAUUUGCCAAGGAUGUUUUCAUUAAUCAAGAACGAAAGUUAGGGGAUCGAAGACGAUCAGAUACCGUCGUAGUCUUAACCAUAAACUAUGCCGACUAGGAAUCAGACGAUGUUAAUUUUUUAAUGACUCGUUUGGCCCCUUACAG
rnacentral:rRNA from 1 species